UGGAAUUCCCAGUAAGUGUGAGUCAUUAACUCGCAUUGAUUACGUCCCUGCCCUUUGUACACACCGCCCGUCGCUACUACCGAUUGAAUUAUUUAGUGAGGUCUCCGGACGUGAUCACUGUGACGCCUUGCGUGUUACGGUUGUUUCGCAAAAGUUGACCGAACUUGAUUAUUUAGAGGAAGUAAAAGUCGUAACAAGGUUUCCGUAGGUGAACCUGCGGAAGGAUCAUUA
rnacentral:ncRNA from 1 species